GUUUAUCAUAACAUUUGAAAUCAGAGCCAGCCAACGGACUUUUUCCUGGAAGUCAACUGAACUGAGGAAACCUUCAACAACAAGGAAAGGUUAACCAGAGACCGCACUGGCGUCCGGAUCCUUUGUAAGCUGAUCACGUUAUGUCCGUCUGUGCUAAGACUGGAAGUGACUGAAAGACAACACAGAUGCAUUCUUUCAGCAAGCACUUGUCCUGGAGGUUUUGUAGACAGAACUGGAAGUGACUGAAAGAAAACGGAGACUCAUUCUUUCAGCAAGGUGACCAAAAUCUGUUUCGCUCUGCAGCACUUGUCCCGGAGGCUUUGUAGACAGAGUGACUGAACGAAAACCUAAAUGAGAAAUAGGAACAACAUGUUUAGAAGAUGAAGUGUGGACGCCUCGGCAGCUUCAGUAUGCUGUGUACCUCAUCUUGAACUCUUUCACAUGGUGAUUCCUACACAUAAUUGCACACUGUAUGUGUUUAGCUAUCCUAUCUUACAAAGACUUAUGCCAACACUGUAUCUGCCUUUCCUCAAUACAAUGUAAAAAGUGCUGCAUAGACCAUUUAGAGAAGCAAUGUCUCGUGACUUUUACUGUAUGUUUAUUUUUGAGCAAGUCUCAUUUGUUGUGUAAAAUAUCUUUGCAGAUUUUCUUUUCAUGCCUGGACACUUUUUUUUAUUUCAAAUAUUGCUUUGAAUUGAUGCAAAUUGAAGAACGUGAAUCCCUGGUAAUAAAGGAAGGUUGACCAGAAAAUCA